GCGUGACCCGGAAGGAGGCGUGCCCUCGAGGGCGGGGCGCUCCCGGGGACCUGGGGCUGCUGCUCCCCGAGCCGUGCUUUGCAGAGGCAAGCGUCUAUGAUUUAAAUGCUAGCUUUGCCGCUUACUGGCUGAAAGACUUUAAAUGACAAUAACAAAAAAUGAAGAGGAUGAUGAUGAUGAUACAAGAUACCAUUGCCCGUGUGUACCAGACAUCAUGCUAAGUGAGUGCUACCCACAUCAUUUUUCUUUCUUUUCUUUUCUUUUCUUUUUUCUUUUUUUUUUUUUUUUGAUACAGAGUCUCGCUCUGUCACCCAGGCUGAAGUGCAGUGGCGCAAUCUUGCCUCACUGCAACCUCCACCUCUUGGGUUCAAGGGAUCCUCCCACCUGAGCCUCCUGAGUAACUGCGAUUACAGGCAUGUGCCACCAUGCCCCGCUAAUUGUUUUGUGUUUUUAAUGGAGAUGGGGUCUUACCAUGUUGGCCAGGCUGGUCUCAAACUCCUGACCUCAAGUGAUCCUCCCACCUUGGUCUCCCAAAGUGCUGGGAUUACAGGUGUAAGCCACCACGCCCAGCCUUUACCCACAUUAUUUCUUUUUUCUUUUUAGGAACAGGGUCUUGCUCUGUGGCACAGGCUAGAGGGCAGUGGCAAAUCAUAGCUAACUGUAGCUUUGAACACCUGGGCUCAAGCAAUGCUGCCACCUCAGCCUCCCGAGUAGCUAGGAUUAUAGGCGAGUGCCACCACACCUGGCUAACUUUUAAACAUUUUUUUUGUAGAGACGAGGGUCUCACUAUAUUGCCCAGACUCCUGAACUCAAGGGAUCCUCCUGCCUCAGCCUCCCAAAGCGCUGAGAUUACAGGAGUGAGCUUCCGCGCCCGGCCCCACAUCAUUUCUUUCACACAAACUCAAAUCUUUCUUGACCUCAAAGGGUUGUCCUGCAAAUCAAAAUCAAAUGAUGUCUCCAGGAGAAAGAGCUUAAUUCCCACCACCCUGAGAGUGGGCUGGAUGUCACGACUCGUGGGCGGAUCGCUUGAGGCCAGGAGUUCGAGACCAGCCUGGCCAACACGGCGAAACCCUGUCUCUACUAAAAAUACAAAAAAUUAGCCAGGCAUGGUGGCAUACGCCUGUAAUCCCAGCUACUCGGGAGGCUGAGACAGGAGAGUAGCUUGAACCCAGGAGGUGGAGGUUGCAGUGAGCCAAGAUUGUGCCACUGCACUCCAGCCUGGGUGACACAGCAAGACUCCAUCUCAAAAAAAAAAAAAUAAGUAAAUAAGAAAGAAAGAAAGGAAGGAAGGAAGGAAGGGAGGAAGGAAGAAGGAAGGAAGGAAGGAAGAAAAUGUAGGGUGGAUGCAGUGGCUCACACCUGUAAUCCCAGCACUUUGGGAGGCUGAGGUGGGUGGAUCGCUUGAGCCCAGGAGUUCAAGACCAACUUGGGCAAUGUGACAAAACCCUGUUUCUACAAAAAAAAAAAAAAAAAAAAAAAUUAUCCUGGUAUGAUGGCAUGCACUUCUAGUCCCAGCUACUUGGGAGGCUAGGGUGGGAGGAUUGCUUGAGCCCAGGAGGCAGAGGUUGUAGUGAACCAAGAUCACGCCACUGCACCCCAGCCUGGGCAACAGAGCGAGACUCUGUCUCAAAAAAAAAAAAAAAAUUAGCCUGGUGUGGUGCUACGAGACUGUAGUCCCUGCUACUCGGGAGGCUGAAGUGGGAGGAUCUCUUGAGCCCAAGAAGUCGAGGCUGCAGUAAGCUGUGAUCGUGCCACCGCACUCCAGCCUGGGCAACAGAGUGAGACUCUGUCUCAAAAAAAUUAAAAAU
rnacentral:lncRNA from 1 species